ACCUAAUUGGCUCAGUCAGUAGAGCAUGUGACUCCUGAUCUCUGGGUCAUGAGUUCAAGCCCCAUAUUAGGUG
rnacentral:tRNA from 2 species